rnacentral:lncRNA from 1 species
GUUUUGGGAGGCAGAAAAUUUGUGAAGAAAGCUAAUUUCCUGAUUUCUUCGUUUAUCUCUUAGGGGAAGUAGGAGAGUGAGAAAGAAGACUGGACCCUAUUCUAGAUGGGUGGAGUUUCAGGUGCCAGAAGUGAGCCUCACUGGAUUGGGAGUUCAAGCCACGAUGACUUUGGAGCCAGGGUUGCAGGUUAAUAUUUAAAGAACUAUGGAAAGACCUAAAUUAUGACAAGUGAAACAAACAUUUCCAAGAGAACACAAUCUACAGCAACAAAAAAAUUGUCUGAAGAAUGACUUGUGCAAUGUCCACCUCCAGAGAAAGAAUUGGUAAAUAGAAAAAAGCAAGACAUAGUUUUACAUACCCACAUUUGUCAAAUUAUGCCUUCUUUAGCUUGAG